AUUGAACGCUGGCGGCAGGCUUAACACAUGCAAGUCGAGCGGGGGAAGGUAGCUUGCUACCGGACCUAGCGGCGGACGGGUGAGUAAUGCUUAGGAAUCUGCCUAUUAGUGGGGGACAACAGCUCGAAAGGGAUGCUACUACCGCAUACGUCCUACGGGAGAAAGCAGGGGAUCUUCGGACCUUGCGCUAACAGAUGAGCCUAAGUCGGAUGAGCUAGUUGGUGGGGUAAAGGCCUACCAAGGCGACGAUCUGUAGCGGGUCUGAGAGGAUGAUCCGCCACACUGGGGCUGAGACACGGCCCAGACUCCUACGGGAGGCAGCAGUGGGGAAUAUUGGACAAUGGGGGGAACCCUGAUCCAGCCAUGCCGCGUGUGUGAAGAAGGCCUUAUGGUUGUAAAGCACUUUAAGCGAGGAGGAGGCUACUCUAGUUAAUACCUAGGGAUAGUGGACGUUACUCGCAGAAUAAGCACCGGCUAACUCUGUGCCAGCCGCCGCCGUAA
rnacentral:rRNA from 1 species